AUUUUAAACAUCUAAACUCAGACAACUUCACUUGCUUUCUAGCGAAAAUAGAUGAGAAACCACGGGUAGCUCCAUUCACCCUGUUGAAUCGUGCAGGAGCCAAUGCACCAGAAAUAUAAUCAAUGUCCUCAAGGUGACACCGCUAGGGUUUUGGUGGAAUUCUUAGAGGUGGCCGUUACUUCAAUUGUUUUUCUCAAGGGAGUUUAUCCUGCUGGAAAUUAUUUUUCCAGUGUGAGGUUUUGCGUGAUCUUUGCGCUCGAUA